ensembl:lncRNA
CUGAUUCAUUGAUCAAUGCAUAGAUAUUAAAUAGUAGCAUCCUAAAUAACUUUAUAUAAAAAAACUGAAUGUAAUGCCAAAAUUGAUAUUGAUUUUACAGGAUGUGGCUGACCUUUAUUAAUCGGAUCACUUACUGUAGCUAAUGAACCUCUAGAUAGAUAAUUAGAAUUUGUCUGUUUCUUUUUCUGUCUGUCUGUCUGUCUGUCUGUCUGUCUAUCUGUCUAUCUAUCUAUCUAUCUAUCUAUCUAUCUAUCUAUCUAUCUAUCUAUCUAUCUAUCUAUCUAUCUAUCUAUCUAUCUAUCUAUCUAUCUGCCUGCCUGCCGCCUGCCUGCCUGCCUGUCUAGCAUCUAUAUUUAAUGUAUUAUAUUUUGAUAAAAACUGUCAAACAGUUUCUGAACCUUUCAGGUUAUUAAGGGUCUCGGAAAAAUAAUUUACUGACUCUCCAUUACUUCAACAUGUAACAAUUCACUAAAAACUCAAGCACGUUUUCCUUUGGAGAGCAACUUGUGUGUACAGCAGAUUGUAGACAAGGGCGCUGGAACAGAUGUUCACGAAAAGCCGAUUGUAUUCCUUCUGAUGGUUGGACGGCUGAAGUGGAGGUAGGCAGUGAAACAGAUGAAAGAGAAGCAGGAGAAUAAGAGUGUAUAACUCGCUCUCAUUGCCUGCAGUGAGGCAGAGGCUGGAGAGACAUGCAGAUGGGCGCAUCCUCAGGUAAUCCACCCGUUUAUGAGGAGAUUGAUGGAUCUGAGGCAAACGCAACUGACGCAAAGCUCACAUCUAUCUUGGUUUAAGGAUGUGGUCCGCCGAAAGGCUGGGAGGAGGAAUUACACGCAAAAGCACUAUGGCCCCUCAUAAAUCACUGCCACCCAGAGAAAGUGUCACAUUCCAGUGCUUGGUGGGAAUUGGGAAGAGGAAACAGGAAGGAGAGCCGAUGACAACAUCUGGUUGUGAUUUCAGAGAUGCGGGCAUGCUUGGGACUUUUCCAGACCAAAGUAAUCAUAUUUUUGUCAGCACGGCUAUCUCUUACCUGCUGCAGAGUGUGAAUGAAUAAUUGAAAUCCUGACCUUGCAGCAGAAGCUGUCACAAAGGUCCAUCUACUGUAGUAACCUGAACAUAGCCACCUGAUACAAAAGGCAAGUUACUUCUCCAGCCAAGAGAAAAGCAGAAACAAGCUGCCGAGAGAGUGAACCCACAGGAGAUGUGUUUUGUGGCACGGUAUGCCAAGAAAGCUUAAAUAAACAUCCGUUGACACUCUGCA